GUGUCAGCAGCCGCGGUAAUACGGAGGGUGCGAGCGUUGUCCGGAAUCACUGGGCGUAAAGGGCGCGUAGGUGGCCCGUCAAGCGCGCGGUGAAAGCCCGGGGCUCAACCCCGGGUCGGCCGUGCGGACUGGCGGGCUCGAGCACUGUAGGGGCGGGUGGAAUUCCGGGUGUAGCGGUGGAAUGCGUAGAGAUCCGGAAGAACACCGGUGGCGAAGGCGGCCCGCUGGGCAGGAAGGGGUGGGUAACCAUCCCGGCUGACACUGAGGCGCGACAGCGUGGGGAGCAAACAGGAUUAGAUACCCCGGUAGUCC
rnacentral:rRNA from 1 species